AUGUCUGUGUGAAAUUAAAUAUUUAGUCUGACCUGCCCACUGAUAAUUUUAAAGGGCUGCGGUAAUUUGACCGUGCAAAGGUAGCAUAAUCAAUAGUCUUUUAAUUGAAGGCUUGAAUGAAAGGUUUGACGGAGGAAAAACUGUCUUUUUGAUUUAUAUUGAAUUUAACAUUUGUGUGAAAAGGCAUUAAUAGUUAAGAGGGACGAUAAGACCCUAUAAAACUUUACAUGUUUUUGAUUGUUUAAUGAAAUUGUUAAGUUAAUUGUUAGAUAAUAAGUUGUGUUUUGCUGGGGCGGCAGGAAUAUAAAAUUAACUGUUUUAAAUAUAAAAUAUUUAUUAAUAGAAAAUGGUCCUUUGUUUGAGAGGUAAGAUUAAGUUACUUUAGGGAUAACAGCAUAAUUUCUUUUGAGAGUUCGUAUCGAAGAUGGUAGUUGUGACCUCGAUGUUGAAUUAAAUUUUCCUUUAGGUGCAGGAGUUUAAAGGGAGGGCCUGUUCGGCCUAUAAAUAUUU
rnacentral:rRNA from 1 species